AUGGGCUGCAGGCUCCUCUGCUGGGUGGUCCUCUGUCUGUGGUGGGCAGUCUCCACGGGCACUGGAGUUACCCAGACACCAAAACAUCUGGUAACCGGGACAGGAAGGAAUGUGACCCGGAAGUGCAAACAACAUUUGGGACAUAAUGCUAUGUACUGGUAUAAGCAGAGUAUUCAGAAGCCGCUAAAGCUCAUGCUUGCCUACAGUUAUAAGGAUCUCCUUCAAAAUGAGACUGCUUCCAGUCGGUUCUUACCUGAUCGCCCAAACAACACCCAGCUGGACCUUCACAUAGACACCCUGGAGCCUGAGGACUCUGCCCUGUAUCUCUGUGCCAGCAGCAAGGACACAAAAGGACCUAGUAAAGGUUUUGCUAAGGGGCUAGCUCAGCUAGAACACCUGUCAAGCUGGGGUGAUAAUUGCUAGGAUGUGGUAUGAUUUGAACAA